rnacentral:rRNA from 1 species
GAUGGCGAUGCGUCCGAUUAGCUAGUUGGCGGGGUAACGGCCCACCAAGGCGACGAUCGGUAGGGGUUCUGAGAGGAAGGUCCCCCACAUUGGAACUGAGACACGGUCCAAACUCCUACGGGAGGCAGCAGUGAGGAAUAUUGGUCAAUGGGCGAAAGCCUGAACCAGCCAAGUAGCGUGCAGGAUGACGGCCCUACGGGUUGUAAACUGCUUUUAGGCGGGGGUAAAGGGGCGGACGAGUUCCGCCUUUGCAAGUACCGCCAGAAAAAGGACCGGCUAAUUCCGUGCCAGCAGCCGCGGUAAUACGGAAGGUCCGGGCGUUAUCCGGAUUUAUUGGGUUUAAAGGGAGCGUAGGCGGGCUAUUAAGUCAGCUGUGAAAUCCGGCGGCUCAACCGUCGGCCUGCAGUUGAUACUGGUGGUCUUGAGUGCGCGCAGGGGCGUUGGAAUUCAUGGUGUAGCGGUGAAAUGCUCAGAUAUCAUGAAGAACUCCGAUCGCGAAGGCAGAUGCCCGGAGCGCAACUGACGCUGAGGCUCGAAAGUGCGGGUAUCAAACAGGAUUAGAUACCCUGGUAGUCCGCACAGUAAACGAUGGAU